ensembl:lncRNA novel transcript
GCUCACUCCUCCACACCUGGCUAAUAUUUGUAGUUUUCUUUAUUAUUCAUUUAUUUAUGUGUUUUUGAGAAGGAGUCUCGCUGUCGCCCAGGCUGGAGUGCAGCUGCACAAUCUCAGCUCACUGCAACUUCUGCCACUGGAGUAACUGGGAUUUCAGGUGCGUGCCACCACACUUGGCCAAUUUUUUAUGUGUGUAUUUUUAGACCCGGGGUUUUCCCAUGUUGGCCAGGCUGGUCUGGAACUCCUGACCUCAGGUGACCCAUGCACCUCGGCCUCCCAGAGUGCUGGGAUUACAGGCAUCAGCCACCGCACCCGGCCCUGUCUCUGACUUUUGCGAACUGAGGAAGUAACCUUUUGAAAUUUACUCUGAAGUGUGAAUGAUUUUAGCAUAUUUUCAACCACCAACAUUCUAGUUCAGGAGAUUUUCAUCACCCCAAAGAGGCUUAUUCCCAUUUGCAGUCAGUUCCCACCCCACUCUUCCACCCAGACCGUGACAAACACUUUGCAUCUCUCUAGCUCUGGAUCUGCCUCUUGUGGGCAUGUCACAUAGAUCAGUUUUGAAUAGGUGGCCUGUUGUGACCACUGUAAUUGAGGAUAAUGGGUUGGUCCUGGUUGUCUGCAGUGUGAAUCUUACCACUGAAGGGUGGUCCCUGGAUGGAAGCAGGAGGCUGGGAGAACUGGGCGGAACAUCCUUUGGGAAUGGAGUCGGGCGGGCAGACCCUGAUGCCUGGGAAGCUCACAAGGGUGGAAGACCACAUCUUCCUCCCUGAGAACUGCAAGGUGACCCUCCUGGGGUACUGGAAGGAGUGAAGGCCUCUGGACUGGGAACACCAGGGCAUUGCACCGGUGCAGGCAGGAUGAGCCAAGGGGAACGGAGAGCCAGGCAUCGCUAACUGGCGACAAUUUGGGUUUGAUCUGGACGGAGUCUGUGUCUUCUGGUAGAGAGAACCCCUGGGAUUUUCGCUCUGCUCCUGGCUGUCUUUCAGUCAUGGAAUCUGAUGACAAAGACUCCCGCCCAGAGCCAAGACAUUUGGUUUCUGGACCCCAGUGGUCCUUUCUGCCUGGACUUGGGAUCUUUUGGGGAAGUUUGGGAUCUGGCAGGGCAUCUGCAUAAUCCAUAGAAAUCCCUGAGAGUCCCUUCCCUUUGCUGACAUCUCCAUGUUCCUACCUAUUAGCUUCCAAAGGAGACUCCUAUCUGAAUUGCCGAAGGCAGCUUCCCAGGCCAGGGAUACCCAGUUAAAUUUGUAUUUCAGAUCAAUAGUAUAUUUCAGAUGUACUUGAACAAGAAAUGAUUUGCUGUUUAGGUGUGGGCAUUUGUAUUUCCCCCUUUUUUUUUUUUUUUUUUUUUUUUUGACAGAGUUUUGCUCUUCUUACCCAGGCUGGAAUGCAAUGGCACAAUCUUGACUCACUGCAACCUCCACCUCCCAGGUUCAAGCGAUUCUCCUGCCUCAGCAGCCCGAGUAGCUGGGAUUACAGAUUCCACUUUGGAUGCUCCUGUCGGGACUGUGUGUCCCUGUGCUGGAACUCAAGUGAGAGUUGGCUGAAAAUCCAUUGCUGUUCUCUAGAAAUCCAGCCCAAGUCUCUUGGUUAGAGAUAAGAUUCCAUUUUGGAUGCUUCCAUCGGGACUGUGUGCCCCUGUCCUGGAACUCAGCUGAACACUUGGCUCAAAAUCCAUUGCUGUUCUCUGGAAAUUCUGCCCUAAUCUCUUGGUUAAAUAUAAGAAGGCGGAGCCAGGUGUGCAGAGCGGAACGUGAAAGUGGACCAGGAGCGUGACCGCUGAAGCACAGCAUCACAGGGAGACGUUUAGGCCACCAGACGGCUGCGGGCGGGCUUGACUGAUGUCAGGCUUUCCACAAGAGGUGGUGGAGCAGAGUCUUCUCUAACUCCCCUGGAGAAAGGGAGACUCCCUCUCCGGGUUUGGGAAGGAAACAUGCAAACAGGACCCAUAAAUGCAUCUUUAUUUUGGUGCCCAUUUUGACCUGGUCAGGAGAAUUCCAACAAAAAAUCCACGGUGUUGGAGCAAGAUCUCAGGCUCUCAGGCUGUGGCCAUCUAGAGAUUCCAUUUUGGAUGCUCCCAUCGGGACUGUGUGUCCCUGUGCUGGAACUCGAGUGAACACUUGGCUCAAAAUCCAUUGCUGUUCUCUAGAAAUCCUGCCCUAUUCUCUUGGUGAAAUAUAAGAUUCCAUUUUGGAUGCCCUCAUUGGGACUGUGUGUCCCUGUACUGGAACUCAAGUGAACACUUGGCUCAAAAUCCAUUGCUGUUCUCUAGAAAUCCAGCCUAAUUCUCUUGGUUAAAGACGGUGUUUCCCUCUUGUUGCCCAGGCUGGAGUGCAAUGGCAUGAUCUCGGAUCACUGCAACCUCCACCUCCCUGGUUCAAGCGAUUCUCCUGCCUCAGCCUCCCGAGCAGCUGGGAUUACAGGCAUGCAUCACCACGCCCGGCUAAUUCUUUGUAUUUUUAGUAGAGAUGGGAUUUCUCCAUGUUGGUCAGGCUGAUCUUGAACUCCCAACCUUA